rnacentral:rRNA from 1 species
AGGACGAACGCUGGCGGCAUGCUUUACACAUGCAAGUCGAACGGUAACAGGGUGCUUGCACCGCUGACGAGUGGCGAACGGGUGAGUAAUGCGUCGGAACGUGCCGAGUAGUGGGGGAUAACGCAGCGAAAGUUGUGCUAAUACCGCAUACGUACUGAGGUAGAAAGUGGGGGACCUUCGGGCCUCACGCUAUUCGAGCGGCCGACGUCUGAUUAGCUAGUAGGUGAGGUAAGAGCUCACCUAGGCGACGAUCAGUAGCGGGUCUGAGAGGAUGAUCCGCCACACUGGGACUGAGACACGGCCCAGACUCCUACGGGAGGCAGCAGUGGGGAAUUUUGGACAAUGGGCGCAAGCCUGAUCCAGCCAUGCCGCGUGUCUGAAGAAGGCCUUCGGGUUGUAAAGGACUUUUGUCGGGGAGGAAAUCCCUAGUGUUAAUAGCACUGGGGGAUGACAGUACCUGAAGAAUAAGCACCGGCUAACUACGUGCCAGCCGCCGCGGUAAUAC